rnacentral:lncRNA from 1 species
GAUUCCUCUGUCUAACCCUACAAGUCCUUGGUUCUACCUCAGAACAGAACGGAAAAUGGAGUGAGUGAUCUUGCAGAACUGGCUGUGAUCUGCUAAACUCGAGCUAAGCGGCAGAGGUUUUGGGAACCUGACCUCAGAUCCUCCCACUUGAACAACAAGCACCUUUACCUACCUGCUGGACCAUCUCCUUACCUGCUGGACCAUCUCCUUACCUGCUGGACCAUCUCCUUACCUGCUGGACCAUCUCCUUACCUGCUGGACCAUCUCCUUACCUGCUGGACCAUCUCCUUACCUGCUGGACCAUCUCCUUACCUGCUGGACCAUCUCCUUACCUGCUGGACCAUCUCCUUACCUGCUGGACCAUCUCGUUACCUGCUGGACCAUCUCCUUACCUGCUGGACCAUCUCCUUACCUGCUGGACCAUCUCCUUACCUGCUGGACCAUCUCGUUACCUGCUGGACCAUCUCCUUACCUGCUGGACCAUCUCCCAACUUGGUUCUUUUGCAAGCUGUAUUUGGAUCCACGGACCUAAGACUUUUCUUCAGGAUCACAGGCUCAAGCAAUCUUGCCUGCACAAUCAACCCUAUCACCAAAAUGGAUCCAGUAGGAGCCUAAGAAUAUGUCUUAAGAACACAUUUCAUUAUAUUGUCUUAAUUAACACCCCGUGUCUUCCUUACCUGCCCCCAAUAAUAAAGGCCCCAUUCUCUUCUA